UUUCAUUACACUUAUGGAAAC
rnacentral:piRNA from 1 species